rnacentral:rRNA from 1 species
GAUGAACGCUAGCUACAGGCUUAACACAUGCAAGUCGAGGGGCAUCAGGAAGAAAGCUUGCUUUCUUUGCUGGCGACCGGCGCACGGGUGAGUAACACGUAUCCAACCUGCCCUUUACUCGGGGAUAGCCUUUCGAAAGAAAGAUUAAUACCCGAUAGCAUAAUGAUUCCGCAUGGUUUCAUUAUUAAAGGAUUCCGGUAAAGGAUGGGGAUGCGUUCCAUUAGGUUGUUGGUGAGGUAACGGCCCACCAAGCCUUCGAUGGAUAGGGGUUCUGAGAGGAAGGUCCCCCACAUUGGAACUGAGACACGGUCCAAACUCCUACGGGAGGCAGCAGUGAGGAAUAUUGGUCAAUGGGCGCUAGCCUGAACCAGCCAAGUAGCGUGAAGGAUGAAGGCUCUAUGGGUCGUAAACUUCUUUUAUAUAAGAAUAAAGUGCAGUAUGUAUACUGUUUUGUAUGUAUUAUAUGAAUAAGGAUCGGCUAACUCCGUGCCAGCAGCCGCGGUAAUACGGAGGAUCCGAGCGUUAUCCGGAUUUAUUGGGUUUAAAGGGAGCGUAGGUGGACUGGUAAGUCAGUUGUGAAAGUUUGCGGCUCAACCGUAAAAUUGCAGUUGAUACUGUCAGUCUUGAGUACAGUAGAGGUGGGCGGAAUUCGUGGUGUAGCGGUGAAAUGCUUAGAUAUCACGAAGAACUCCGAUUGCGAAGGCAGCUCACUGGACUGCAACUGACACUGAUGCUCGAAAGUGUGGGUAUCAAACAGGAUUAGAUACCCUGGUAGUCCACACAGUAAACGAUGAAUACUCGCUGUUUGCGAUAUACAGUAAGCGGCCAAGCGAAAGCAUUAAGUAUUCCACCUGGGGAGUACGCCGGCAACGGUGAAACUCAAAGGAAUUGACGGGGGCCCGCACAAGCGGAGGAACAUGUGGUUUAAUUCGAUGAUACGCGAGGAACCUUACCCGGGCUUAAAUUGCAGUGGAAUGAUGUGGAAACAUGUCAGUGAGCAAUCACCGCUGUGAAGGUGCUGCAUGGUUGUCGUCAGCUCGUGCCGUGAGGUGUCGGCUUAAGUGCCAUAACGAGCGCAACCCUUAUCUUUAGUUACUAACAGGUUAUGCUGAGGACUCUAGAGAGACUGCCGUCGUAAGAUGUGAGGAAGGUGGGGAUGACGUCAAAUCAGCACGGCCCUUACGUCCGGGGCUACACACGUGUUACAAUGGGGGGUACAGAAGGCAGCUAGCGGGUGACCGUAUGCUAAUCCCAAAAUCCUCUCUCAGUUCGGAUCGAAGUCUGCAACCCGACUUCGUGAAGCUGGAUUCGCUAGUAAUCGCGCAUCAGCCACGGCGCGGUGAAUACGUUCCCGGGCCUUGUACACACCGCCCGUCAAGCCAUGGGAGCCGGGGGUACCUGAAGUACGUAACCGCAAGGAUCGUCCUAGGGUAAAACUGGUGACUGGGGCU